rnacentral:rRNA from 1 species
CCGCGUGAGGGNNGAAGGCCUUCGGGUUGUAAACCUCUUUUAGCAGGGAAGAAGCGAAAGUGACGGUACC